CUGGUUAGGGUGAAACGGUGGUGUAAGAGACCACCAGCGCCCGAGGUGACUCGGGCGGCUCGGUAAACCCCACCCGGAGCAAGGUCAAAAGGGAACCCGACAGGGCUCCUGCGCAGGCGUUCGAGGGCUGCCCGCCCGAGCCUGCGGGUAGACCGCUGGAGGCCGGCGGCAACGCCGGCCCGAGAUGGAUGGCCGCCUCCCCAGGCCCCGCAAGGAACCUGGGAGACAGAACCCGGCGUAUAAGCCGACUCGUCCG
rnacentral:RNase_P_RNA from 1 species